rnacentral:sRNA from 2 species
GCAGUGUCACGGCCGCCUGGCCUGAGAUUAACCGCUGAUGAAAAAGGAGCCACUGGCUCCUUUUUU